GACGAACGCUGGCGGCGUGCUUAACACAUGCAAGUCGAACGAAGUGGCGCACGGGUGAGUAACGCGUAAUCAACCUGCCCUUCAGAGGGGAACAACAGUUGGAAACGACUGCUAAUAACGCAUAACGACGGAGGGGCAUGCGGCUGAUUAGCUAGUUGGGGGGGGAACGGACCACCAAGGCGAUGAUCAGUAGCCGGUAGGAGAGGAAGAACGGCCAAAAUGGGACUGAGAAACGGCCCAGACUCCUACGGGAGGCAGCAGUGGGGAAUCUUGCGCCAUGGAAGAAAGUCUGACGGAGCAACGCCGCGUGAGUGAUGACGGCCUUCGGGUUGUAAAGCUCUGUUAAUCGGGACGCGGUACCGGAAUAGAAAGCCACGGCUAACUACGUGCCAGCAGCCGCGGUAAUUC
rnacentral:rRNA from 1 species